rnacentral:rRNA from 1 species
AUUGAACGCUGGCGGCAGGCCUAACACAUGCAAGUCGAGCGGAGCGGCGGACGGGUGAGUAAUGCCUAGGAAUAUGCCUGGUAGUGGGGGAUAACGUCCGGAAACGGGCGCUAAUACCGCAUACUAUCAGAUGAGCCUAGGUCGGAUUAGCUAGUGGGUGGGGUAAAGGCCUACCAAGGCGACGAUCCGUAACUGGUCUGAGAGGAUGAUCAGUCACACUGGAACUGAGACACGGUCCAGACUCCUACGGGAGGCAGCAGUGGGGAAUAUUGGACAAUGGGCGAAAGCCUGAUCCAGCCAUGCCGCGUGUGUGAAGAAGGUCUUCGGAUUGUAAAGCACUUUCAGCGAGGAGGCGUUACUCGCAGAAGAAGCACCGGCUAACUCCGUGCCAGCCGCCGCGGUAAUUC